UAGCCAGAUUGACCAGCGCAAGGUCGAG
rnacentral:sRNA from 1 species